AAGACUCUCGGCAACGGAUAUCUCGGCUCUUGCAUCGAUGAAGAACGUAGCGAAAUGCGAUACUUGGUGUGAAUUGCAGAAUCCCGUGAACCAUCGAGUCUUUGAACGCAAGUUGCGCCCGAAGCCUUUAGGCCGAGGGCACGCCUGCCUGGGUGUUGCACAU
rnacentral:rRNA from 1 species